UCCCGUACUUGACACGACGACCGGUGCUCUGUGAUACGUUUUCUACGAGUCGAGUUGUUUGGGAAUGCAGCUCAAAAUGGGUGGUGAGUUCCAUCUAAAGCUAAAUAUUGGCGAGAGACCGAUAGCGAACAAGUACCGUGAGGGAAAGAUGAAAAGCACUUUGGAAAGAGAGUUAAACAGUACGUGAAAUUGUUAAAAGGGAAACGAUUGAAGUCAGUCGUGUCUGGGAGGCUCAGCCGGUUCUGCCGGUGUAUUCCUCUCAGACGGGUCAACAUCAGUUUUGUCCGACGGAUAAUGGCGGCGGGAAAGUAGCACCUCCGGGUGUGUUAUAGCCCGCUGUCGCAUACGCCGGAUGAGACUGAGGCAUGCAGCUCGCCUUUAUGGCAGGGGUUCGCCCACUUUCGAGCUUAGGAUGUUGACGUAAUGGCUUUAAACGACCCGUCUUGAA
rnacentral:rRNA from 1 species